rnacentral:tRNA from 1 species
GACAGCGUGGCCGAGCGGUCUAAGGCGCUGGUUUUAGGCACCAGUCCGAAUGGGCGUGGGUUCGAAUCCCACCGCUGUCA